rnacentral:misc_RNA from 1 species
GAUGAAGAACGUAGCGAAAUGCGAUAAGUAAUGCGAAUUGCAGAAUUCCAGUGAGUCAUCGAAUCUUUGAACGCACAUUGCGCCCUUUGGUAUUCCGAAGGGCAUUCCUGUUCGAGCGUCAUUAUCACCCCUCAAGCCCCCGGCUUGGUGUUGGACGGUUUGGUGGAGGCCCCCUCGGGGGCUCCUGCCCCUCCCAAAGACAAUGACGGCGGCCUCGUUGGACCCCCGGUACACUGAGUUCUUCACGGGACACGUAUCGGACACAUGGGUUUACGGGACACGGUCUGCCUCCCCUCAGGGAGAAUCUUUCUAAGGUUGACCUCGGAUCAGGUAGGGAUACCCGCUGAACUUAAGCAUAUCAAUAAGCGGAGGA